AAAUUACUCCCUCCAUCCCAAAAUUCUUGUCUUACAUUUGUUUAGAUACGGAUGUAUCUAACACUAAAAUGUAACUAGAUACAUCCGUAUUUAGACAAAUUUAAGACAAGAAUAUUGGGACGGCGGGAGUACAAU
rfam:Triticum aestivum genome assembly, contig: Triticum_aestivum_CS42_TGACv1_scaffold_131014_2BL